rnacentral:rRNA from 1 species
CUGGGAAUUUUGCGCAAUGGGCGAAAGCCUGACGCAGCAACGCCGCGUGGGGGAUGAAGGCCUUCGGGUUGUAAACCCCUUUUGGUUGGGACGAAAAAAAUGACGGUACCGACAGAAAAAGCACCGGCUAACUCUGUGCCAGCAGCCGCGGUAAUACAGAGGGUGCUAGCGUUAUUCGGAAUCACUGGGCGUAAAGGGCGCGUAGGCGGUUUAGUAAGUCGGAUGUGAAAUCCCUCGACUCAAUCGAGGAAGUGCAUUGGAAACUACUAGACUAGAGUGCAGGAGGGGAGAGCGGAAUUCCUGGUGUAGAGGUGAAAUUCGUAGAUAUCAGGAGGAACAACGGUGGCGAAGGCGGCUCUCUAGACUGCAACUGACGCUGAUUGUGCGAAAGCGUGGGGAGCAAACAGG